CACGUAGGCGGGUCUUUAAGUCAGGGGUGAAAUCCUGGAGCUCAACUCCAGAACUGCCUUUGAUACUGAGGAUCUCGAGUUCGGGAGAGGUGAGUGGAACUGCGAGUGUAGAGGUGAAAUUCGUAGAUAUUCGCAAGAACACCAGUGGCGAAGGCGGCUCACUGGCCCGAUACUGACGCUGAGGUGCGAAAGCGUGGGAGCAAACA
rnacentral:rRNA from 1 species